GGUGGAUAUGGUUCUCGUGACAUG
rnacentral:miRNA from 11 species